UACGUAGGGUGCGAGCGUUGUCCGGAAUUAUUGGGCGUAAAGGGCUCGUAGGCGGUUUGUCGCGUCGGGAGUGAAAACUUACAGCUUAACUGUGAGCGUGCUUCCGAUACGGGCAGGCUGGAGUUCGGUAGGGGAGACUGGAAUUCCUGGUGUAGCGGUGAAAUGCGCAGAUAUCGAGGAGGAACACCGAUGGCGAAGGCAGGUCUCUGGGCCGAUACUGACGCUGAGGAGCGAAAGCGUGGGGAGCGAACAGG
rnacentral:rRNA from 1 species